GCAGACGUCCCUUCCCCAGCCAGGCUGCCACCUCGCAGUUCAAUCUCAGACUGCUGUGCUAGCAGUGGGGAAGGCUCCGUGGGCAUGGAAACUGCCGAGCCAGGCACAGUAGAGAAUCACCUUGUCUGCCGGUUGCUAAGACCUUUGGAAAAGUGCAGUAUUUGGGUGAGAGUGUCCUAUUUUUCCAGGUACAGUCUGUCACGUCUUCCCUUGGCUAGGAAAGGGAAAUCCCCCGACCCCUUACACUUUCCGGGUGAGGCAACGCCCCACUCUGCUUCAGCUCACCCUCCAUGGGCUGCACUCACCUUCCAACCAGUCUCAAUGAGAUGAACCAGGUACCUCAGUUGGAAAUGCAGAAAUCACCCGUCUUCUGCGUCAAUCACGCUGAGAACUGCAGACCAGAGCUGUUCCUAUUUGGCCAUCUUGGAACCGGUCUGAGUCUGUUUUAGCCAGAUCAAGUACUUGGUUAGACUUCUCCUAUGGAGAAUGCAGCAAGAAAAUACCAUCUUGAAGCAGAGAGCAGCGCUCAUCAGGCAUCAGUCCUUCUGGAGCCUUGAUCUUGGACCUCCC
rnacentral:lncRNA from 1 species